ensembl:lncRNA
CUCUCUCUCUGUCUCUCUAUCUCUCUCUCUCUGUCUCACAUUCUCUCUCUCUCUCUCUCUAUCUCACAUUCUCUCUCUCUCUCUCUCUCACAUUCUCUCUCUCUCUCUCUCUCUCUCUCUCUCUCUCUCUCUCUCUCUCUCUCUGCAUGAAGAUGCAGUCUUUUUUCCAAACAUACCUAAAACAUGAUACACACAAUCUCUCAACCGCACAAUCUGGCUUUUCAUCAUGUUCCCGUAUUACAACGACGCCUCUUUGAUUGAUAUCUCACUCUCCCUCAGGGCCUCCAUUACCCGGCGCUGGAACCUCACAUGAUUUUACAAUCAUGCGCAAACCUCAAUCGCUGUUUUUCCUGACUGUUUUUGGAUUCCAGAUCAUUCCUCACAUUACUUCUUCUUCUUCUUUUCUUUUCUGGUCUUUUUUUUUUUUUUUAACACAUAACUGCAUCCACGCUGAUCCCCAGAGGACGAUGCGUUGUCUGCCCUUCCUCUCGCUGUCAGACGCGGGGUUGAUACGCCUCGCUCUGGGUAAGGAACUUUAGCUCGCCCGCUUUCGCUUCAGCAUGGCUCUCUGAGGAAUUCUCUUUCGUCUCGUCUUCAGCUCACCAGACCGAAGAUGAGAUCUGUUAGCAGAUGGAUAAUACGAUUCGUCGUGUCUUUACAGCACAGUCAGCAGGGAGCGCUGAAACUAACAUCUACUCCGAUGUGCGUCCAUACUUCCCUGCGACCUGACUGGAGACGUUUCUGUCUCUGAUCUGGAGCAGCCGGCGGCCUAGUCCGCACCGGCGUGGGGGAAAUACGACCGAUUCAACUGAGCAAACGUGGAAAACGAACGUGAUUACAACGACUGAGACUAUUCAUCAGUAUUCAUCGAUACCGGAACAUUUUUAUUUAUCUCUGUUUAUGCCGGUUCCCGUGUGCCGCAAGCAAUGAACUCCUCGCGCUGAGACGCCAGCAGCUUGUGAGCAUAGAUUUUGCGGGGGCAGGACGACAUUAAUAACAACAUAACCUCAAACAAAAUGAAGUCUCGAGGCUCUCUCACUCGACUGAUGUUAUAGUAACCCCAUAACUGAGAAUCAACAACAUUCAGCCAUGCAGUGUACAGUCUAACAGCUUGUUUUGAGUGGGUUUUCAGACUGACCUUUGUUCAACGGCGUUCAUCGACCAAGGUUGACACGUUUUUGUUUUGUUUUUUAAGGAAAAUGUCUGGCAAAAUGUCUUAAAAUCCACACAAAAGACUUCAAAC